rnacentral:rRNA from 1 species
UACGAAGGGGGCUAGCGUUGCUCGGAAUCACUGGGCGUAAAGCGCACGUAGGCGGCUACUUAUGAGCAGGGGUGAAAUCCUGGAGCUCAACUCCAGAACUGCCUUUGAUACUGGCGAUCUCGAGUCCGGGAGAGGUGAGUGGAACUGCGAGUGUAGAGGUGAAAUUCGUAGAUAUUCGCAAGAACACCAGUGGCGAAGGCGGCUCACUGGCCCGGUACUGACGCUGAGGUGCGAAAGCGUGGGGAGCAAACAGGG